rnacentral:lncRNA from 1 species
UGGAAGGAAGAUGGGAAGAAUAUUAUAAUUAGAGAAUGGAGGAGAUGAAGGUGGAGAAGAUUAUUUUAAUGGAAAGGAGUUGGUGGAACAUUGUUUUGUUGGAAUAAACAAUGGAAAGAAGCCUUUAAUGAUGAAGGUGCUUCUCUGGAGAUGGGAUGUGGAAGAAUAUUUUAAUAGGAAAUGAUUAAGAUGGAGCUGGACAGAGCUUAGUUUAUGUGGAACAUACAAAGGA